rnacentral:lncRNA from 1 species
AGGUGCUUUGUAAAGCUGCUGCCAAUCAUGAUCUGACUGUCUUUUGCUCCCAAGCACUCGAGUUUUUCGCGUCCAAGCUUGUGAGCGUAACCAAAAAGAGGCAGACGGGUACUGGGGGAGGAGAUUACAUCUGUAUGUUGUUGUUUUUUUUUUCUCAAUCGUCCCACGCUUCAGACAGUCAGACUUCAUUAAAGGGGAGUUAGCUGCAGGCCAGGCGCAGACCUCACACAUCUCCUCUGACAACGACUCCGAACACGACCGAACAGACCCGGGAGGCAGCGGGCCGCUCAUCAAAGCAGAAAGGGUUCUGAAACAGCAGAGCAGAGCCACAUCGUCAGGACUUCAGCAAAACUCUCCUGCUCUGCUGGAUUCCACACCUGCUGUCAGGUUCAGCAGCUGCUGGAGUUUGAGCACAGUGUCCUGCUGCAGCCCGUCUGGUCUCCACCUGCAGGAAGAUGUUGGAAAGUUUCCCCUAAUCUGGUUGGUGCAUCUGAACACCAUUAUGCCGCCAUCUGCAUCACAAUGGCCUCCUAAUCCACAAGAAGCCUCCCGAAUUAACCGCAGACUGCAAAUCCUGGAUUUGACGGAUCUAUCCGGAUGAGGACUUUGCGUGCAUGACAUGUUUGUCCAGCAGCCUACAAAUCUACUUUAUAAAAAAGACACACCCAUGGUUGCAGACCAGUAUGCUCCACCAGAAUGCUCGCCACAAAGUCAUACAAUAAUUAUAAAAUUCAGAGGACGUAUUUUUACAAUUGUGCAUUAAAAUAAGUCCACAAGGAAAUUCAUGCGCUAAAUUGAUGUCAUUUUUCCACUUCCUGUCUCCAAAAAUGCUUCCUAAGAAAACCGAUCCCCUGAUUAUAUAGUCUUAUAUUUGUUUCAUUGCUAAAUGUCAGAAAGCAAGCUGUAAUUUUUGCUUUACUUGGCUUAAAUGUCAGCAAAAAGAGCUCGACUCUGCAUGUGUACAUGUGGUUCUGCGUUUGUCAGCAUAUGUACAGUCAUUUAAGGCUAAAAUAAAAAGUGAUUUAUUGUAAAUGGUCAUUAAUAUAAGGUGGCAGAAACAAAAGUCAGAUUUAAACAGAAAUGGGACCAG